GCUGGGCGCAGUGGCACGUGCCUGUACUCCCAGCUACUCGGGAGGCUGAGGUGGGAGGAUCGCUUGAGCCCAGGAGUUCUGGGCUGUAGUGCGCUAUGCUGAUUGGGUGUCCACACUAAGUUCGGCAUCAAUAUGGUGACCUCACUGGAGCUGGGGACCGCCAGGUUGCAGUGAAGCGGCCCAUGUCGGAAACGGAGCAGGUCAAAACUCCCAUGCUGAUCAGUAGUGGGAUUGCACCUGUGAAUAGCCACUGCACUCCAGCCUGGGCAACAUAACGAGACCCCAUCUCUA
ensembl:misc_RNA Metazoa_SRP Metazoan signal recognition particle RNA